rnacentral:rRNA from 1 species
CAAGCAGGUUAAUAUUCCUGCGCCAUCUUGUAGACGUUGAACCGAGGAAGGACGGAGAAAGCUAGACGAGCUGGCCGGUGGUUGUGCCAGUCCAAAGGCGUAGGGGUGUCGCGUACGAUGAAAAGGCGCGGCAGCUAUCCCCGAGACCCCAUGGCACCCCUCACGGGGUAAGUCGUUGAUGCUCGGCUUCCAAGAAAAGUUCCGCGGGGAGUCUACAGGGUGUCCGUACCGCAAACCGACACAGGUGGGUGAGGAGAAAAUCCUAAGGCGCUUGAGAGAACUCUCCUCCAAGGAACUAGGCAAAUUUCCACCGUAACUUCGGAAGAAGGUGGGCCUCUGGUAGGUGAAGGCGUACAGCUGGAGCCGAGAGAGGUUGCAGAGAAAUGGCGGUAGCGACUGUUUACCAAAAACACAGGACUCUGCGAAGGCACGAAGCCGACGUAUAGGGUCUGACUCCUGCCCGGUGCUGGAAGGUUAAGGGGAUUCGUCAGCCGCAAGGCGAAGCGAUGAUCCGAAGCCCCAGUAAACGGCGGCCGUAACUAUAACGGUCCUAAGGUAGCGAAAUUCCUUGUCGGGUAAGUUCCGACCUGCACGAAUGGAGUAACGACUUCCGCACUGUCUCGGAGAGGGACUCAGCGAAAUUGAAAUAGCUGUGCCGAUGCAGUUUACCCGCAGCAAGACGGAAAGACCCCGUGAACCUUUACUACAACUUGACAGUGACACUAGGGUUCGACUGUGUAGGAUAGGUGGGAGCCUUUGAAGCCGGGCCGCUAGGUUCGGUGGAGGCAACGGUGAAAUACCACCCUGUCGGAUUCUGGUGUCUAACCAUGCCCCCUCAACGGGAGCUGGGACACUGUCUGGUGGGUAGUUUGACUGGGGCGGUCGCCUCCCAAAAUGUAACGGAGGCGCGCGAUGGUUCCCUCAGCCCGAUUGGAAACCGGGCGUCGAGUGCAAUGGCAUAAGGGAGCUUGACUGCGAGACAGACAUGUCGAGCAGGUGCGAAAGCAGGUCAUAGUGAUCCGGUGGUCCUGAAUGGAAGGGCCAUCGCUCAACGGAUAAAAGGUACUCCGGGGAUAACAGGCUUAUCUCCCCCAAGAGUUCACAUCGACGGGGAGGUUUGGCACCUCGAUGUCGGCUCAUCGCAUCCUGGGGCUGGAGCAGGUCCCAAGGGUUUGGCUGUUCGCCAAUUAAAGCGGUACGCGAGCUGGGUUCAAAACGUCGUGAGACAGUUUGGUCCCUAUCUGCUGUGGGCGUAGGAUACUUGAGAGGCUCUGACCUUAGUACGAGAGGACCGGGUUGGAGACACCGCUGGUGUACCAGUUGUCUCGCCAGAGGCAUCGCUGGGUAGCCAUGUGUCGAUU